rnacentral:rRNA from 1 species
CUACGGGGUGCACCAGUGAGGAAUAUUGCACAAUGGGGGGAACCCUGAUGCAGCAACGCCGCGUGGAGGAUGACGCAUUUCGGUGUGUAAACUCCUUUUAUAUGUCAAGAAAAUGACGGUAGCAUAUGAAUAAGCACCGGCUAACUCCGUGCCAGCAGCCGCGGUAAUACGGAGGGUGCAAGCGUUACUCGGAAUCACUGGGCGUAAAGGACGCGUAGGCGGGUUGGAAAGUCAGGUGUGAAAUCCUACAGCUUAACUGUAGAACUGCACUUGAAACUUCUAAUCUAGAGUAUGGGAGGGGGAGAUGGAAUUAGUGGUGUAGGGGUAAUAUCCGUAGAUAUCACUAGGAAUACCUGAAGCGAAGGCGAUCUCCUGGAACAUUACUGACGCUAAGGCGUGAAAGCGUGGGGAGCAAACAGGAUUAGAUACCCUUGUAGUC